UCAUUCUAUCCCUGCAAAUCCAAACCAUAAGGCUCCUCAGCGAAGAACUCUAGCAACUCCUCUGUCGAGGAACUCCACUCCGACAGUGACUCCUCCAUCGAAGCUCGACGCCUCAACGCCUCGACGACGUCAUUCCUCUCGGCAACUCCACUUCGCAAGUGCCCGGUCGCUCGUCACCAACUUCCUCGCUUGAAGCAGCUAAUCUUUGGCGCUCUGCCAAGGACAACAGGAGCAAAAGUUGGCGGAUCCAGGCAGUCGAAGUGUCUCCGGAUAGGUUUGAAAGCAGGAAGGCUCUCCUGGCUCAGUGGAGGGGAUUGAGGGAUGACGAUCUCUCUAAAGAGACAGGGAUUCUUGGAUGUGUAUUCGUGCACAUGAGCGGUUCAUCAGGGGCAACCAAACCUUCGAGGGUGCUCUAGCGAUGGCUUGAGUGCGCUCUGAAGCUCUAAGCACGAGACGAGACAGUGACUUCAAUUGGUUUUUAUCAGUAAAACGAAAUAAAUUCUUCGUUGAGAGAGGAUUUAAGCAAAACAUUGCCUAGUACUUACUGCUCAGUUGAUUCCUCAUUUAGGAGAGAAAAAGAUGUACUCUAAUUAUUUCACUUUUGGAAUUUGACGCUCAUAGAUUAUAUUAUUGGAAACAAUUUAUUUAAGAAUCAUCUUUAUUUCA